UACGUAGGGUGCGAGCGUUGUCCGGAAUUACUGGGCGUAAAGAGCUCGUAGGUGGUUUGUCGCGUUGUUCGUGAAAACUCACAGCUCAACUGUGGGCGUGCGGGCGAUACGGGCAGACUGGAGUACUGCAGGGGAGACUGGAAUUCCUGGUGUAGCGGUGGAAUGCGCAGAUAUCAGGAGGAACACCGGUGGCGAAGGCGGAUCUCUGGGCCGUAACUGACGCUGAGGAGCGAAAGCAUGGGGAGCGAACAGG
rnacentral:rRNA from 1 species